GUCUGUCAGCGGGCGGAGGCCUGGCGCGGCCUGUGUGGAGCACCGGGAGGCCAUUGUGGCUGGGGCAGAUCUGCGCGCCGGAGGAGGAGGGGGCGGCCGUGGCCCGCGAGCGCCGCGCCCCGCCGAAGUCCGUCUGAGGGAGGAGACGAUCUUGAAAACUUCACCAGGUCCUUGAGAGAGAAAACUACAUGACACUACACCAUGAGUGACAGUAAAUGUGACAGUCAGUUUUACAGUGUUCAAGUUGCAGAUUCAACGUUCACCGUGCUAAAACGUUACCAGCAGUUGAAGCCCAUAGGAUCAGGGGCACAGGGCAUUGUUUGUGCUGCGUUUGAUACAGUCCUUGGAAUAAAUGUUGCUGUAAAGAAGCUGAGUCGUCCUUUUCAGAAUCAAACCCACGCAAAAAGAGCUUACAGAGAGCUUGUUCUUUUAAAAUGUGUCAAUCACAAAAAUAUAAUUAGUUUAUUAAACGUAUUUACGCCACAGAAGUCACUAGAAGAAUUUCAGGAUGUAUAUUUGGUUAUGGAGCUGAUGGAUGCAAAUUUGUGCCAGGUUAUUCAUAUGGAAUUGGAUCAUGAAAGAAUGUCUUACCUUCUUUACCAAAUGCUAUGUGGUAUCAAACAUCUCCACUCAGCUGGUAUCAUCCACAGAGAUUUGAAGCCCAGCAACAUAGUAGUAAAAUCAGACUGUACGCUCAAAAUUCUUGAUUUUGGACUAGCAAGAACAGCGUGUACUAACUUUAUGAUGACUCCAUAUGUAGUAACACGGUAUUACAGAGCACCAGAGGUUAUCCUUGGAAUGGGAUAUAAAGAGAACGUUGAUAUCUGGUCAGUUGGGUGCAUCAUGGGAGAAUUGGUGAAAGGUUGUGUGAUAUUCCAAGGCACUGAUCAUAUUGAUCAAUGGAAUAAAGUUAUUGAGCAACUAGGAACGCCAUCAGCAGAAUUCAUGAAGAAACUGCAGCCUACAGUGAGGAAUUAUGUAGAAAACAGACCAAAAUAUCCUGGUAUUAAGUUUGAAGAGCUCUUCCCAGACUGGAUAUUUCCGUCAGAAUCUGAUCGUGACAAGUUAAAAACCAGCCAAGCUAGAGAUUUAUUAUCAAAAAUGCUUGUAGUAGAUCCAGACAAGAGAAUUUCUGUAGACGAAGCCUUACGUCAUCCUUAUAUUACUGUCUGGUAUGAUCCAGCUGAAGCAGAAGCUCCUCCACCUCAAAUCUAUGAUGCACAACUGGAAGAAAGAGAACAUGCAAUUGAAGAAUGGAAAGGUAAAAAAAUUAAUAUACAAAGAAGUAAUGGAUUGGGAAGAAAGGAGCAAGAAUGGUGUGGUAAAAGAUCAGCCCUCAGCACAGAUGCAGCAGUGAAUAGCAACACCAGUCCUUCCCAGUCAUCAUCUAUCAAUGACAUUUCAUCCAUGUCAACAGAGCAAACAUUGGCCUCAGAUACAGACAGCAGCCUCGAUGCCUUGACAGGACCCCUUGAAGGAUGUCGAUGAUCAGCCAGGAUUGCAGACUUGACUUUGGAAAAGAACUCUUGCUUCCAUUGGGCCUGAAUUGCUUAAGCUUGCCUGGAAAUGCUGACAGAUCUGUGUUCCCAUCCACGUGCUGAAACGGUAUCAUAAUCAGGUUGUCAGACUUCCGUGCAAGUUUCAGAUAAGCUACUGGCUAUAUGUGUGUGUGUGUAUAUGUACAUAUAUAAGAGGACUUUCUCUUCACCUUGUGCCCAGACAAUGCGGCGUUUCUGUUUACUCUCCCCGGCCAAGACAGAGGUACAGCUAACUUGAAAAAAUAGUUCCAUUGUACUUACUUCGAGGAAGAGGUACGUACUCUUGCAAAGACGGUGAUGAGGUCUCCAGGCACUUGCAAAGCUGUCUGCUCUAACUCUGGGGAAGGUGAAGAAAAACUUAACUGCAACUUUGAUCUAGUUGCUUUCAUGGGGGUUUUCGAAUAUUAAAUGGAGGGUUAACAUAGCUGCCUGUCUAGAUAUAUGGCAUGGGCCCUCAGCCAGACUUUGACGCUGUAAAAGCUUUGCCUGUGACAGUCUGAAAUAAAUUUACAGGAACAUUGUUAUUCCUUGCAUGGAGAACUUGAAGUUUUUUCUCUACAGGGCAAUGCAGCGGAGUAUCUGGAUAGACCAGGGAUGCCCUGUAGAUCCCGGAGCGCCCCUUUAUUUGAUGAUAGGAUACUUUUCAGGUUGCUUCUUCAGCUGCAGAGGACCUGAUUCUUUAAAUGGAGAACAAAUAGAAAAAGAAUUAAGCAGGACCAAGACGUGCAUGCAGGGAAGUUCUUUACAUAGCACUGCCCAAGUACAUUCCUUGUCUGAUGUCAUACCUUUUCUUUAUAUUUUCUGCAAGUUCUUGAAGCUGGCAGGACAGUUCUAGAAAGGUAAAGAGGGAGGGAACUGACUAAACAAGACCCAAAUAAUUUUUGAGGAAAGUGGGACUUCAGAAGUGGGGUUUUUGUUUCAUAGUAAUGAGGUCUCAGAAGGUGAAAAAAAAUAUGGAACAAAGAAACAAGAAGAAUGUAAGUGCAUGGAAUUCAAAUUAAAAUGCAGUGUUCAUGAUUACUUGGUGUGAAGGCAAGGCGGCAAAGAAACAAGUAACGGUUCGACAGUGCACUGGUGGAGACUAGGCAAUGCGUGGAAGGGGUGGGCCAGCGUGCUCUUAGGAGUAAAGGGCCUGCAGCAGGGCCCUGGGGACGGAAUAGGGCAGGGCUGCUUCCCUCCAUGAGCCUGGUGGGAUAAGACUGGGUUUUUUUGAUUCACUCGUGUUUAAUCUUAAACUGCUCGCUGCUCUCUGGGGAAGGAGAAAAACAUCUGUGCAGUUUCUGCUCACACAGCAUAAGCUGUUUUAGUGAGUUAUUGAGUUAUCAAGUAGAUGGUCACUCUUAUAUUUAAUCUUGCUGAAGAGCAAAUAACGAACCAUAUGUUUUUCCUGUAUAAAAUAUACUUUUAAAUUCAGUACAGGUUUCGGUAUACAGAUGGCAUUGUUCAUGUUAAAGUUCUGCAGUGGGUUAAAAGAACAGCAGUUAUUUUCUUGGUAUUUAUGUGUCAUUAAGUCUGGUAUGUAAAUAGUUAAUACCUUUCUUGUGUGGAGAGAGGUAGCUCUGAAGAGAUGUGCACGAGGGGGCCUCCCAGUGAUGAUCUUCAGACUAAUGUGUUCUCACGGGAGUCCUGUAUGGAGGCUAAUUAUGAUCCAGAGGAGCAAAUGGCUUUGUAAGAGACCCCUCCUCCUCCUUCAGUGAGAGGACAGGAAUUGCACAACAGCUCUGGAUCCCAGACACAGGGCCGGGGAGAGUGCUGGUGGGGACUAUAGGGAGGUGCAAGUGGGUUGUCUCACUGUUUCUCUGUACCUGUCUCUGAAACGGCUGACUUCGGGAUGCAGGUAUGAGCUCAGCACUCUCCACAGCCUAUGUAAUACCUAUGUGACUUCUGGGGUGGCUGGUAAAACACUUGAGCUAGCAUGACAUCCCUUGAUUUAAAACACUCAGCCACUUAGGCACUUAGAGCAUCAGUGCAAGACUUAAGGCUAGCCAAAAAGCACCAGGGUGCUUCCCAGCACGCUGCACAGGCUGGCUUGGGAGUUGGCAGUGCAAAGUGUCUGAAAGACACUUCCAGUGGUAAGAGAAAGCAUCCCUGGCAUUAGCAGGGUGGUGCUGAGCUCCUGGAGUUCAGGGAUCCCAACGAGUUUGUAUGAACAGCUCACUUUAAAAACAAGGCUGUCAAUUAUACUGUUGGGUUUCUUUCCUCACCUCUAAAAUGGGAGUAUGUGCUGAAAUCACGAUGUGACCUUUUUCUCUCCUACAGUUUAGUUCAACUUGAAACAGAACAAGCUCCUGUUUAUUUCCAUCUGUUAAUUUCCCCAAAGGUUUCAAAAAACUCUUCCAUUUCUUUUUGGAGCAUUUCAUUUCUUUUCUCUGCAUCUUCCUUUGCUCGCUCUGCAUUUCGCAUCUUCAUCUCCACAAGACUGUACCACUUACGCUGCUGUCCCAGUUUUGAAUGCAUAUCCUUAAUCUCUGACUGCAGCUCUCUGUUCCGCUGCUCCAGGCUGUUGGAGAGACAGACAUUCGAAGUCACAGAAUUUUCUUCCCCUUUUUUAGUAAAGCUAUAGGCUUUUUUUAAAGCUAGCUUUUUUAACAUACGUUGCCAUAAAUACAAGUAUUGGCAUCCCCAACACUCUUCCAAUUUAUGGGUAUUAUAUAUUUUUAAAAAGCUGCAAUUUUUGUUAUGCUAAUUUAGAAUAAAUAUGAAUAGCCAUAUGGCCAAAGGAGUCAGUUCUGAGGUUGGGGUUUUUUGUAGUGGUAUACUAGAGUAGUCUAACAAAUGGCAAUGCAACGUAUUUUAGGAAACACUGAGGAUUCUGCUUACGUUGCAGUUCCCUCGAACUGCAAGGGAAAACAUAAGCAGAAUACAGUAAGGAGCUUUUAAAAAGGGGCCAAAAUCCUAGGAAUAAUGGCAUAACUCCUUUUACUAAGAAGAAACUGACGAAUACUUCUUCAAGAAAUUACAGAUUGAAUGGAUUUUUUCUUACAUAAUGUUCAAGGCACAGUGUUAUUCAACACUCCCCACUUGCCAUCUGUUGCAGAGAUGCACGUUGAGGUAUUUUAUGAUUUAAUCAAAUAAUCAAUUUGGACAAUGUACCUGUAAGUUAUAACUAAUGAACAAUAUUGUAUUUAAAAUCUUCAUUCCAUUAACAACGCAAUAGAAAAGCAGCACUAUUGGGAAAGUAGAGUCUGGAAAUGUUUCUGCCUUUUUUUUUUUUUUUCCCUUGAUAACAAGCUAUGGCUAAAUCUCUACUCAAUUUCUAUUCUUAGACAUCAGGAAAAUAUUCAUGAACACUCCUCUGAGUUGUUAAAAUUCCUGACUUGCAAUUUGUAAAGAAUGGUGACUUACUGCUAACGCUGCUGCGAAGCCCGCACGUCUUUCUCUAGAGAAAAGCUUCAUACUGGAUUAAGGCAAAAGAGGAAAAUCCACGAUAGACCAGAGGCUUUUCAAGAGUCCUGUGCAGCCCUGCAAAAAAUCUUAGGGAUGCUCUGGAGUUUCUCAAGCACCACCCAGGAAAAUGACUUAAAAUAACUGAAUAAUUGCUAACCUAAUCCUGCAAUGCUGGAUCCUGGGUGACAUUCACAGUGGUAUGUGGAGGCAUUGCCUGCAGCGGCAUCCAUAGACCCUACUCGCAGAUAAGGACCUUGCAGUCCUUGCAUACAGUAGGAAAAGAUGCCUUCCCUGAAGCCUCAUAGUUUUAAAAGCCCUUUACCUUGCUAUUUUAGAUUCGUACUCAGCCUUCUGUCUGGCCAUCAGCAUCUUCAGGUUUGCCAGGUGGCUCUGCGGGGAGGUUGGGUUUGCUGGCAGGUCACUGGAGGAAGCAAAGCUGUCGCUGUUGUCCCCUGGGACGUGUCCUGUGUUUUCCUGAUCCCGCAAAACAUGACUUACAGCUGUGUUGGUUUCUUGGGAGACUUCUGGGUGGGCAAGUCUUGUCAAGUAUCUUGAGGGAGGAUUUUCCUCAAACAUCGUUUAGCAGUGGGAGCCUGCUGAGCAUGCCCGGCCAGCACCACCCGUGCCCUCUGGGUGUUGUCAGAGACUCAAUGCCUUUUCUGUUUUAGAGGAGACCUUGUUUUCGGGUCUGUCUUGCUCUGCCUUGUCACAGGCUGUGAGAGUUUUCUUCCUCCCCUCAGCUGUUUGAAGCUUUUCCAAAUACUUGGAAAGAGUCCAUUUUGGCGGAGCCUGGAUCUUGUUUCAGCUUAGCUUUUUGCACUCGGUGGGUUGAAGUCUUGAGCUGCCACGCCUGCCUGCUGCCCACUCGCCUUUAUCGUUAUGGCUGGUUUAUUCGCAUUUCCAGGAACUACUGCUGCGUUCGUGCCCUCAGUCUGUUCGGUGUAGUUUGUCUGACAUCUGUAGGUGGCCCACUUGAUAGCUCUCCACCCGACUAGUUUCAUUCGUGGGCUGGGGAGGUGAAUUCUGCAGCACUAGCCAGUCCUGGGGGUGUGCAGGGGGAGCAGGGUGCCCGCUUUGCAGGCUGCAAGGGCAGGGCUCCCUGUGUUCCACUUCAUGUGCAUUAGAAGAGGCAUGUUACAACUGUCUGGGGUGCUUCUAGUCGGUCAGGCGUGAGAAAAAUUGCAUGAAUGUAAAAUGGCUCGCUGUGCUGCCUCGUCUCUGGUGCAUCCGCUGUGUCUGCUUCAGAGAGAGCCGUUCAAGCAAGGGAGGCUGGUUCCUCCGGUCACGAUGUUUCAAGGACAAGAAGCUGGAGGUCAAAGAAAAAUAGGCCACUUGUCAGUUAUAUUUCGAUUCCUCUUGGAAAAACUCUCUGAUGUGAGUAAAUAUGGAGUGUUUAUUUUAGCUGCCUGUUCUCACAAGAGAAUCAAGCACAGCACAGAAAUAACUUGAUUACAAAAAAGGAAGAGCAAAAUAUGCGUGCAGUUUAAAUGCAUAUCUCAGAAAUCAUGGAGAUGGUUUAAAAUAAUCUGAAAAGUUGUUUUGUCUCCCUGACCUGCACCUGUUUGGUGCCUUGGUACAAGAAGUGAAAAUCAGCUGCUUUAAGUGCUGUUGGAUUUCUGUUUUACUGAUGUCCUAUGCGAAAACGGCCCCUGGUUUUCACUCUGCACCCUGGACAAGGCUGUGGUGUGUCCCUUGUCAAAGUUGGGGCUGAGAGGUUGUUCAGACAAUUCCCCAUUUAACCUGCGCUCUCUUCAGAAGGAAGAGUCUUUAGAAAUGAGCAGGCGGGUGGGUGAGCAUUUUAGGAAUCUAAAGAAGUUCCUGGGGUGAGAGUUAUAUUAAAAAAAGUAAAUAAGGCUUUAGCCUUCUGAGUGUGAGAUGCUGAACUGGAGGAAGGUAGGGAGAAAUCCACUAACUUGGCUUUGCAGAAGUAAAAUAUUACACUGAUUUGAACACCACCAUCAACACCCCUCUCUCCCCCCCCCCCCCCCCCCCCCAAGUACUGCAGUUGCUGCUAACCUAAACUUUUUCUCCAGAAAAAGAUAUGCCUGGAGUAUUAAUGCCAGUGCUUUACAUGAGUUCUGUGUCUAUUAAUAAUCUAACAGAUGGCUGUAGUUUCUGAUGAAUUGGAUUCCAUUUCAUUGAUUAAUCUGUUUUCUCCCCACCCCGAAGGAGAGAGGCAGCAGCUGUGCCGACCGGCAGCUGCUGUUGCACAACUAGGAGUGUCCUCGGCCCCAAUUCCCGCAGACGCCUCCGCUCGCCUGUCGAGGACAUGAUCGCUGCCUGUUGGGAGGCGGGUAGGGAGCGAGUCUGUCACCUCUGCUAAGUCAGGAUAGAGAAGCAGGACAGCCGAGAGCUCCCUGUUUGAGAGCGGACAGAUGGGGAGGGCUCCAACCUUCAUGGUUCCCUUUGCGGUUACAGUGCUAAACAACUUGAUGUGGGUGAAAUUAAGGAGGUCAGCGGGAUAUAGAAAACUUAGAGAGCUGUGCUUAAGGCAUGUCACAUCUGGUCAUGGUCACUAAGCCAAUGUAUUACUGGUUCAAGCGGCUCAUGUGGGAGACCCUGUGGAGGCAGCAGGUUUCAACACAUGGGGCAGGGACCAGGGAACAAGCAGCCUUUAGUCCUGUGAUUCCAACGCCAGAGCCGUGUGUUGGCACCGAGGCGGUGACCAGUUCCUUCUCUUGACACUUGACCACUCAAGGAAAGUAUAAAACCACCACUCAGAUGUGGAGCCAGCUGUGUGAUAAGGUGACUAUGGGAAAACCACAUGAAGGUGUAGCGUGUAGUGCUCCUCCGCUUCCCCUUCCUUACGCAGCCUAGCGCUGACGGGCACUUGUGUUAGCUCAUGCUCCUCUGGGAGAGCUCUCUCUUAUUUUUGGAUUUUGCUAAUUACACACCUUGACAUUAUCUGGGAGCUGAUGUGCAACAAAGACAGUGAUAGAUGAAGGGAGUCCCCUUCCCAGCUGCCUCUCACAUGUGCUCACUUCUAGUGCUGGUGUUCCUUCUGAGCAACAUGAAGCACGUCAGCACCGAUGCUCUCGCGAACGGGGGCUGAGAAGGAUGCGGCUUCUCCACUUCCUCCUGGCAGGCAGUGCUGGCAGGGGGCUUUAUAGCAGGAACCUCUGACAGCUCCUCCGUGACAAGUCAUUAAUGCAUGAGCUGGGCUGGCAGCGUCAGAGGGGAAAGAGGAAGAUGAGUGAAUAAAAUACUGCAUUGAAGGUUGCUGUACAGGGGACAGGGAUGAAGAUGAGGGAGUGAUGCAGAGGGUUCUGCCACAGAAAACCGUUUCUUCAAGCAGCAGCCUGUCAUCUGUGUGUCCUGCAGUUGGGUCACAGAAGGGUUUGCACAUCUGAGAGCUUUCUGUGGCAUGGGCCAGUACUGAUGACAACUGAUUUCUCAGAAAUCACAUCCCUGUGAUUCUUGGACAGUCCCAUAACAGCUCUUUUAUAGGGUGGCUGCCAAGCUCCAGGUUAGGAACUCAGAGUGCAUCAGAGCAGCAUCAACAGGGUAUGAUAGCUGGAAUCUCAUCUACUGUGUGCUUCCUCUCCUAAUUAUAACCUUGAUCAGGCACAGCACCGUAUAAUGUUGACUCCUGCCCCCCACAUCCCUCUGCAUUUACAUUUAUUCAUGUGCCAUGUUAUCCUUUCACCUCGUCUGUGGCCUCUCAGGGAGACUGCUCAUAUUAGUUUCCUGACAAUUUAAAGGUCAGCAAUGAAGAGAGCUGUGUAUUUUGUUGCCCUCAGGCAGAGGAAGGAGCUCCAGACUCUCAGCUUGCAGGGAGCUGGGAUGUUUCGAAAAAUUGUUUCUUAUUUUGGACUAACUUGGGAUGGAGCUUGUGAUUCUCUGCGAUGACCUCUCUCUGGAGCGCAGAGAUGCUGCCACGUGUGGUUAAAAUUUAACAUGCUUGAAAUAGUUCCUCCAGACGAGCUGUGGGAUUUAUCCUCCCUCAGUUCUGGUCCUGUGCCAGCUGCCUGUUCCCCUGCAUCGCCUCUAAGCUCUAGAAGAAAGACGGGAGUGCUCUUGCUUCACCUUUUGUAGGGUAUCAUUUGCACUGCAGACAGAUGAGAUGCAACUGUUCCAAAAAGGAUGCCCAGGGACUUGGCAUGGGUGAGGUUACUGCCUACGUAAAAGCUCAUAAUUUCCUUUACACAAAAGCUGAUGAUAAUUGGACUCUGUUUUUAUAAGCCAGGUUUAUCAGCAGUUUCUCCUCUUCACACUGGUGGUAGAGACAAGCUCAGCUGCCAGCAAGGGAGAAACCAGUCACCUGCACGCAGCUUGUGGGGCAGCCUCAACUGCAGCGCGUGCAGGCAGCCAAGUCCUCGGCAAAAUGCGCUCCAGGCGUACGGCGGAAUGGCUGGGUAAGGUAACACCUGAAAUCCGGCCCUGUGCCCCUGAGUCACCCCGCUCUUGAUGAGCCUGUCAUGCAGUUGGGCUGGAGAACAUGACCUGGCCUUGGGAAAUGCCGCUGGGAGGCUGCUGCCCUCUUCAGCAGGAUGCAGUCGGAGCUCUGUGUGUGGUACCGGGAUGGAAGGGUCUGAACUUUAAUAAUUUCUUAUGUUCUUUGAGAAAAUCUUUUAAUUCUCUUUAGUAACAGUGACACACUCGCCCUGAAGUAUCUCUGCUAAACUUGCUAUAUUUGAUAGUUACUUUGGAGCCAGGUUAGACCAUGCAUUUGUACGAGUUGUUUGCUUGCACACAUUUAUUCAGACCAAAUUUCUGCACCUCCUCUGCGUUAUAGUGAAAGAAACAGUUCUCAUGGACUGGCUUUUUACAGAAUGAUUUGUCUUGAGCUAUGUUUGGAAACUAGAACCCAAUAAAAGUGCAGGAACUGAUUUUUGUGUUAAAUGAAAUUACCUGUAAUCAACAGGCUUUGCAUCUAAAUGUGACUUUAAGGCUAUCUCGGUUUGCAUUAAUGAAUUGAAAGCUUUGUUCUUUCUGGUUUUUUUCAGUCUGGACUUCCAUGACGUUAGAACACUGAAUCCCAUAGUCUCAUCUCUUGUUUUCCUCUUGCAGUUAAAUUAAAAAUAAAAUCAGUUUCCUGUGCUUUUUUUUUUUUUUCCCCUUAAAUCCCUUUUGGUCUUUUUAACUCUGAAUGAACUACUUAUUGUGCUAAACAUGGUGACUAAAUGGAAACAAAGAAAAUACUCUCUUUGCACCUGCAGAAGGAGGCCCAGGACAAAUGACUCUUGGCUGGGGCAGUCUCUGGUGCCAGGUGCUUACCAACUUCAGGAGCCUGAGCUCUUCUAAACUUUUGGCAGCGAUCCUGUAUUGUUUGAUAGCAAUCCUUUGCAAAGAGAAAUAGAAACACAUUAAUAAGAAGCAAACAUUCAUAACUUGAUUUAGAAAGCUAAUUAAAUUUUUUAAUCUUUGCCUUUUUACGGUGCUUGUUCUUACAGAAAGGUGUUGCCACAUCCCAGUACAGCAGGAAGAGGCGUGUACAGCUGGAUGCCAUAAGAACCCGAGCUUUUCAAGCUCUGGGGCACGUCAGGAGUAUUGUACAUUGCCCUGUCUGCAUAACCUAAUGUUUUUGUGCAUAAAUACAAAGGUCUGCAGCUAGAUUGCAUCACAGAAAACGAGGGCGCUUGCUUUUGGGCAGCUGAAAGCUGCUUGAAAAAUAGUCUCUUUACUGUGACCCCAGUAAAGGGCUGGGAGCAUUUUUUAGGUGGUUUUUUUGUGGGUUUGGUCAGCUGCAGCUGACUGCAGUAUCGCCCUCUUCCCCUCCGGAAUGGGGUCACGUCCCUGCAGGCAGCCUCUGCCCAGCUGUAACGCUGUGGGGCUGGAGCUGGCUGGAGGCUUUGAAGUCCUUCCCCAUGGGAGAUGCUGUCAAAUGUAAGGGGCUGUUGUUGCCAGAGUGCAGGAAUGAGUGGGAAGGGAAAAAUGACCUUUUUUUCUUUUCUCCCAGAGAAGACUAGCAUUCAGCUGCUUACCCACUAGAUGUCACGGUUGGGUUUGGAUUUGUGCUUCUGUGGCCAGCGCUGCCUGAGCCCAAAUGCCUGGUGAGGAAAAAUUGCACUAUUUUUUUCAAGCUCACUGGCAGUUUGUGACCAGCAUCUCAUAAAAGCAAGCCAUAAAUUAAUUUUCAUCACUUAAGGGUAAAAAGGCUGGUGAGAGGCUUCUGGCAGGAGAGGGCACUGUGUUCUUUGCUGUAUCUCAGGGAAUGUGCGUUUAGGAUGAGUUUCUUUUAGGUGGGAGGCUGUGCAGCUGCAGAGCAGCCACCCCAUCUCCACUGUGGUGUGAUACAGGCCCUGUGCCAUGGGGAGAAGCACCCCAGGAAAGAGCUUGUGAGCCCAGAGCUACCCCGCUGCUCCUCUGGCCAUAUCACACUGGUUUCAAAUUAAAACCCGCUUUUCACAUUAUGCUGGGUUAAAGCGGGCAGAGGGGAUGUUGAUAGAAAGGGCUGGGGCGAAGGCAAAGCAAGCAUGGGGAGGGGUGAACCCAGCCGCAGUAUGGGCAGCCUCUGCCCUGCUCUUUAACAAAAGCAUCCUCACUAUAUAUAUGCAAAUAACUUUAAUCUAGGCUGAUUUUCUCCCUCCCCAGCUGUAUUUUGUGUCGUAAACAUAGGUUACCUCUUUGCUUUAAGUGUAGAGUUUCCAUCUGGGGGGGAAAUGGUGUUUUGUUCGAAACAUGUUCAAGUUAACUCUCUCAUCCUUCAUUUUCUUCUGUACAAUAAAUCCUGUCAUGUUAUAAUGGGGAAAAACUGCUUGGAAGGAACAUUCCUACACUGCCUUUUUCAUGGACUUUGUUUUUAAUUAGAGGCAGUUUUGAUGCAAUUCUCUGCUUCAGUUUUGUUUUAGCUCUGCAGAUCUGCAAGGAAGGAUUUCAAGCAUUCGGUUUGAAAUUGAGCGCUAAAGGCGAGCCGGCUUUCUUGUGCUUUCAAAAUGACCCUCAGCCACUCACAGGGAAUGGCCCGUUUAGUUCAGCAUUUGUAUUUCUGGUUAACAUUAAUGGGAGCUGCUGAUUUUCAGACUGUCCUUCAGUUUUAAGAAUUUUUUUUUCCAUUCAGGAUCUUCCCAAGGUGUGUUUCCAUGUGGGACUUUUGUCUUUGCGUAAGGACAAGGCUUUGACUUUAAGAUAGCAAAAAAGAGCCGAGAGCUCCUGCAGCCCUCUGCAAACGAUCAUUUUAACAAAUGCCUGCUGCUCUGCUUAAAGCGAGCUGUUGUGUUUAGCUGCAUUUUGGAUGUUGCCUAUAAACACAGCAGCUGUCUGCAUGCAAACGGGACUUUCCAGCAGUGCAUAAUAUGAAAAGAAUCUUAUUACUAGUUUAAAAAAAAAAUACACAAAACAAAACACA